UACGUAGGCAGCAAGCGUUGUUCGGAAUUACUGGGCGUAAAGAGUGUGUAGGCGGUGCUCUAAGUUCGGUGUGAAAUCUCCUGGCUCAACUGGGAGGGUGCGCCGGAAACUGGGGUGCUGGAGCGCGGGAGAGGAAAGCGGAAUUCCUGGUGUAGCGGUGAAAUGCGUAGAUAUCAGGAGGAACACCGGUGGUGUAGACGGCUCACUGGACCGUAACUGACGCUGAGACACGAAAGCGUGGGUAGCAAACAGG
rnacentral:rRNA from 1 species